UACGAAGGGGGCUAGCGUUGCUCGGAAUCACUGGGCGUAAAGGGUGCGUAGGCGGGUUUUUAAGCAGGGGUGAAAUCCUGGAGCUCAACUCCAGAACUGCCUUUGAUACUGAAGAUCUUGAGUCCGGGAGAGGUGAGUGGAAACUGCGAGUGUAGAGGUGAAAUUCGUAGAUAUUCGCAAGAACACCAGUGGCGAAGGCGGCUCACUGGCCCGGUACUGACGCCUGAGGCACGAAAGCGUGGGGAGCAAACAGG
rnacentral:rRNA from 1 species